UGGGGAAUAUUGCACAAUGGGCGCAAGCCUGAUGCAGCCAUGCCGCGUGUAUGAAGAAGGCCUUCGGGUUGUAAAGUACUUUCAGCGGGGAGGAAGGCGAUAAGGUUAAUAACCUUGUCGAUUGACGUUACCCGCAGAAGAAGCACCGGCUAACUCCGUGCCAGCAGCCGCGGUAAUACGGAGGGUGCAAGCGUUAAUCGGAAUUACUGGGCGUAAAGCGCACGCAGGCGGUCUGUCAAGUCGGAUGUGAAAUCCCCGGGCUCAACCUGGGAACUGCAUUCGAAACUGGCAGGCUAGAGUCUUGUAGAGGGGGGUAGAAUUCCAGGUGUAGCGGUGAAAUGCGUAGAGAUCUGGAGGAAUACCGGUGGCGAAGGCGGCCCCCUGGACAAAGACUGACGCUCAGGUGGGAAAGCGUGGGGAGCAAACA
rnacentral:rRNA from 1 species